GACGAACGCUGGCGGCGUGCUUAACACAUGCAAGUCGAACGGAAAGGCCCUGCUCUUGUGGGGUGCUCGAGUGGCGAACGGGUGAGUAACACGUGAGUAACCUGCCCUUGACUUUGGGAUAACUUCAGGAAACUGGGGCUAAUACCGGGUAGGAGCUCCUGCUGCAUGGUGGGGGUUGGAAAGUUUCGGCGGUUGGGGAUGGUUUGGCGGCUUAUCAGCUUGUUGGUGAGGUAGUGGCUGACGAAGGCUUUGACGGAUAGCCCGCCUUGGAGGGUAGACGGCGACAUGGGGACUAAGGGAGGCAGCAGACGCGAACCGGCCGCAGUAGGCGAGAGUCUUGCGGAGUAGGGGGGCGUGAGUGAUAGAGGUGCCGGGUGCGUGAUGCUGGGUUACUAGGUGUAAACCGAUUUGUAAGUAGAUGAGCAGUUAUUGACGGUACUUGGUAAGAAAGCAACGGCUAACUACGUG
rnacentral:rRNA from 1 species